ACGAACGCUGGCGGCGUGCUUAACCCAUGCAAGUCGAACGGAAAGGCCCUGCUUUUGUGGGGUGCUCGAGUGGCGAACGGGUGAGUAACACGUGAGUAACCUGCCCUUGACUUUGGGAUAACUUCAGGAAACUGGGGCUAAUACCGGAUAGGAGCUCCUGCUGCAUGGUGGGGGUUGGAAAGUUUCGGCGGUUGGGGAUGGACUCGCGGCUUAUCAGCUUGUUGGUGGGGUAGUGGCUUACCAAGGCUUUGACGGGUAGCCGGCCUGAGAGGGUGACCGGCCACAUUGGGACUGAGAUACGGCCCAGACUCCUACGGGAGGCAGCAGUGGGGAAUAUUGCACAAUGGGCGGAAGCCUGAUGCAGCAACGCCGCGUGCGGGAUGACGGCCUUCGGGUUGUAAACCGCUUUCGCCUGUGACGAAGCGUGAGUGACGGUAAUGGGUAAAGAGGCACCGGCUAACUACGUG
rnacentral:rRNA from 1 species